AUUGAACGCUGGCGGCAUGCUUUACACAUGCAAGUCGAAUGGUAACAGGUUAAGCUGACGAGUGGCGAACGGGAGAGUAAUGCAUCGGAACGUGCCCGAUCGUGGGGGAUAACGCAGCGAAAGCUGCGCUAAUACCGCAUACGAUCUGAGGAUGAAAGCGGGGGACCGUAAGGCCUCGCGCGAUCGGAGCGGCCGAUGUCAGAUUAGGUGGUUGGUGGGGUAAAGGCCCACCAAGCCGACGAUCUGUAGCUGGUCUGAGAGGACGACCAGCCCCACUGGGACUGAGACACGGCCCAGACUCCGGCGGGAGGCAGCAGGUGGGAAUUUUGGACAAUGGGCGAAAGCCUGAGCCAGCAAGGCCGCGUGCAGGAAGAAGGCCUUCGGGUUGUAAACUGCUUGUGUACGUGGCGAAAAGGUCCUUUCUAAUACAAGGGGCUCAUGACGGUACCGUAAGAAUAAGCACCGGCUAACUACGUGCCAGCCGCCGCCGUAACAC
rnacentral:rRNA from 1 species